CGGGUGUGGUGUGGUCCUCUUCUGAGACAGGAUUUGUAGCCGUGUCGAGUCCGUGCAGCUGUAGUGGUGUUCCGCUGCUGCAUGGUCUAGUUUCAUGAGCAAUAAAUAGGAUGUUACGUGGGCAGUUUUGGUGACUGUGUUAAUGAAGAAAGAGAAAAAGGGGCCUGUUCGCUUCAGAUUAUUCAGCCGGCUUAUCAGUCACCAAACAGUAUUUUUCUCUCACAACAAAUCAGCCGUUUCAGCUUUUCAGCCGGCUUGUAAGCUGAAGCGACCCAGAUCGUUUCAUCGUGAUGAAGCGAGGACUCCCCAGUUACCGAGACCUUUGAAACGGAAUGACACCCGCACGGAGGGGCUUGAGUUUCAUCCCGACGCGGCGGCGGAGAUCUCCCGCGGCACGCGCGCUUCUUCUGCCGAUCUCCCGCGCCGAGCUGCCUUUCCUGCCGGUCUCCCCACGAUCCCCUCCAAUAUCCCCGUCAUAUAUGGAUUCCAUUGCAGUCUUGCUUCCCUCCUCCCUUCCAAUCUCGCCUCCCUCCCUCGUUAUUCCAAAUCUUGUAGGCCGGCGGCUCUGCUAGCUUGCUGCGGCGUCACCUCCUCACCGGCGUAGCAGCGGAGUCUGAUGGCGGGCAGAUAGAAGAAGGACGGCCCCGUGGUGGGCGGAAUCCGGAGCUGGGAUCCAUGGAGGUCAAUCCUCUUCUCCAAAUCCAUGGAAAUAGAAAGAUGGAAGGCUUGAGAAGAUACAAGGCUAGAGAAGGUGUAAGGCUUGAGAAAAGAUGGAAGGCAGUGGGGUGUAAAUUUUUCAUUAUAUUAGUUUGGCCAUUUAUCUUAAUACUUCAAUUUAUCGUGUGAACUGAAUUUUGGGCACUUCAAUAUAUCAGGUGGCACUUUAUGUUAUUUUUGUGAGUUAUCAGUGGGCACUUCAAUUUGUCAUGUGAACUGAAAUAUAUCUUAAAUUCGUGCUUUA